UACGUAGGGUGCGAGCGUUGCCCGGAUUUAUUGGGCGUAAAGGGCGCGUAGGCGGCUCGGCACGUCCGUUGUGAAAUCGCCCGGCUCAACUGGGCGGGGUCAGCGGAUACGGUCGAGCUUGAGCAAGCUAGGGGGUAAUGGAAUUCCCGGUGUAGUGGUGGAAUGCGUAGAUAUCGGGAGGAACACCAGUGGCGAAGGCGGUUACCUGGGGCUUUGCUGACACUGAUGCGCGAAAGCGUGGGGAGCGAUCCGG
rnacentral:rRNA from 1 species